GUCGUAACAAGGUUUCCGUAGGUGAACCUGCGGAAGGAUCAUUACCACACACAAAAACGGGUGGCCUUGCCAGCUGGGUCAGAUGUGGCUCUCACUCUGAACUCCCUGGUCGCCAUUCCCUCAACACCGGUCAAUCGUUUUCUCUGUAGCGCUGUGAUGCCUGCGCUGGCCAUCGGAUGGCUGAAGUUGGUAUCAAACCCCUUUUUCAAACAACUAUACUAACCAAUACUCUGAAACAUAAGAGAGGGUGGUGAGGCGCACCUCGUGUGUUAGCUUUGACCCCUCUCAGAAACUAGUUGUAAUACUGUACAACUUUCAGCAACGGAUAUCUUGGCUCCCA
rnacentral:misc_RNA from 1 species